rnacentral:rRNA from 1 species
ACCGCAUGUGUCAUCGGAUUAGAAACCAUGUCUAAACAGUAAUGCCUUUGGGAGGACCUGCGUCCAUCAGCUGUUGGUGAGUAACGGCCCCCAAGGCGAGACGGGUAGGGACCUGAGGGGUGACCCCCACAAUGGACUGAAACAGGUCCAUACCCUACGGGUGCAGCAGUAGGAAUAUUGACAAUGGGCAAAGCCUGAGCAGCAACGCGCGUGCACAAGAAGGUCUCGGAUCGUAAGUGCUUUCUGAGAGAUAGAAAGGACGUAUCUCAGAAUAAGUCUGGCUAACUAGUGCCAGCACCGCGGUAAACGUAGGAGCAAGCGUUACCGGAUUCAUGGGCGUAAGCGCGUGCAGCGGUUCGGAAGUUGGGCUGAAAUCUUCGGCU